rnacentral:rRNA from 1 species
GAUGAACGCUGGCGGCGUGCCUAAUACAUGCAAGUCGAGCGAACAGACGAGGAGCUUGCUCCUCUGACGUUAGCGGCGGACGGGUGAGUAACACGUGGAUAACCUACCUAUAAGACUGGGAUAACUUCGGGAAACCGGAGCUAAUACCGGAUAAUAUAUUGAACCGUAUGGUUCAAUAGUGAAAGACGGUUUUGCUGUAACUUAUAGAUGGAUCCGCGCCGCAUUAGCUAGUUGGUAAGGUAACGGCUUACCAAGGCAACGAUGCGUAGCCGACCUGAGAGGGUGAUCGGCCACACUGGAACUGAGACACGGUCCAGACUCCUACGGGAGGCAGCAGUAGGGAAUCUUCCGCAAUGGGCGAAAGCCUGACGGAGCAACGCCGCGUGAGUGAUGAAGGUCUUCGGAUCGUAAAACUCUGUUAUUAGGGAAGAACAAAUGUGUAAGUAACUAUGCACGUCUUGACGGUACCUAAUCAGAAAGCCACGGCUAACUACGUG